UGUUCCAUUCGAGGAAUAGCGCGAGUACAAGACCAAAAAGUCAAAAGUCAAAACAAAAGGCUACGCUAGCUUUUACAAGUCUCGCGCGUCACUCGUAUCCCUGUAAGGAAAACAAAUAACGUGGUAUGAGCUAAAAGCCCAGUGAGGUUCCAAAUAGCAAAUUGACCAUUAUUUUUUUUUUAGUACAAGUUUCGAUAUAGCAAAGUAACGAGCAUGAAGAGUUCAUAAAUGUGAACAAUAACACGUCAAGUAGCAAUCUCAAAAUGAGCGAGUGUAGAAGUUUUCCAUAAGCAACAAUAAUCCAAUAAGUAAUAAUCACUCCAAAGUAUAAGGAUACGGAUGACUCUCAGGAGCCCAAAUUCCCAUUGCAUUACCAGAAGCUUGAUCACGUAGUAGUUGACACUCCGUCAACUUUCAAGUAAGUAACCAAUCCAGUAGAACACCACUUACACGACUCUCCGUCCACCAUUCACACCCCCUACUGGGCCCAAAAUCCUCAAUAAACAUGGGUGGUAAUACUCGAGUAUACCGUUAGUCGAGGAGAUAACACUCCACUCGACAUUACAAGUGACCCAGGGUUUGUUAUCUAAUCGACCAGGCCCUUGCCGGCUCGACUCGAGUAACUCGCCACAGGGUUUCCGGAAUUCCAGGAAGUGCGCACAUCAUGAACAAGUAUAUCAAGUCAAUUGCAAUCAAUAAACAAGUAUAUCACGUAAAGGCAAGUGCGAUAAAGUACACUCUUGCCCUAUCAAUUCACGUAUAUAACAUGUACUCAUAUUGGUCACGUAUCAAGUUCAAGUAUCUAGUACAUUUCGGUAUUUGAAAGCACUCACCAAAAGAUAUAGUGCCUUUAUUGAUCACUUUCAGGGUAUACUCCGGGUUCGGAGUCCAAAUCUGCGAUAAAACUCAGUUUGAGAACUUUGAAACAUGACUAAGAUUCGAAACUUAGACGUUUCGUUCAAUAAAAUCAAGAAAUUAAAAUUCACUUGAGAAGAGUCAUGUAAUAGUUGCUCACUCUUCAAACUGAAAACUUUGAUAACAUUUUUUCUUGAAGAUGACUCUUGAGUCAAAAGUGCAAGUAAAACGGUUUCAUAGUGAUUCAUAUCAUUUUCCUAAGGGUACAAGUUCGGCCAAGUCCUAACGUAUAACCCUCGAUAAACAAAUGGCAAAGGUCCUCGAUAGUUCAAGUGAUAAUCACUUAACCUUCACUCAAGUCACAAAGAGAGUUUUCUAGACCUCGAGUAAAAAUUCGGGCAGCAUGCCCUUUGUGUUUACCUAAUUUCCAGCCAUUUAGGCUUCAUUAUUUUUCUUCAACAACAACCCAACAUCAUACAUAUCAGCAAUUUAUGUCAAGAGCCGUUCCAUAGGCUCACAAUAUCAUAAUAACAAGAAUCGCAUUAAGGACAAGUGCAGAAAUUAAAUUUAGCACAAGACAGAUUUGACGUACCAAUGCGGAAAUAACAUAUCCAAGGCUACGCUUAUCGGAUUAAGACGAAACCUGUGCCAUUUCGAAGCUAAGACACAGAGCUACAACAUUCAUGAAGGUCACUUAGUCCAGUUCCUAAUGUAACUUAGUCAAAUUCUCGAAUUACUAAACCAGAAACCAAUUCGUCGGCUGUUUAAAUGCAGAACACUGUAAUGGACAUAACUCAGUGUACACAAGUCCGAAUCAGGUUUUCUUUGAGGCAUUUUAAAGAUACUUCAGAACACUACAACUUUUAUGUUUUGGCCCAGAGCUAAAUCAGAAUGGAUCCUGGUCAAAAAUCGUGAUAAACUGGACUGAACUGAAGAAACGGACUGCUGGGAAAUUCUUAAAACAGUAGGGGUAUUUUGGACUUUUCACGUUCUGCGUUGCUCCGAUUGAGCUGAAAUUUUAUAGGCACCUAUAAAACAUCAUUUCCUACAACUUUCCUUCUUUGACCCAAGGCCAAUUCGGCCUCUAACACAUAGAUACAAAUUCGGACAGAAAUGAUCAAGAAUUUUCCAGAAAUCUGGAAUUUGUAGUUUCUAGUGAAAUUUUCCCUAAUUUCUCACUCCAAUCACUCCCAAAACACCUUAUAAAACCUCAAUGGUAACAUACAAGUAUCACACAUCAAGUUGGGCAGAAAUUCCACAGCCCUAGUUCAUCAAUUAAAUUGGGGAAAACUACUAAAACUUGCUAAUCAUCCAUAAUCUCACCAUAAAAUCAAGUUACUAGGCUUAAUAUAACAAGAUUAGAAGUAAAACUUGGAGAGAUAAACUCUCUUACCUUGAAUAAAAGUCACCAAGAGUAGCACAAGCUCUCCCCUUCAAGAAUCACACCACAACUCACUAGCUAGUCACUCAAGAACAAGUUUAAUCGG
rnacentral:lncRNA from 1 species